rnacentral:rRNA from 7 species
CCUGGCGGCCGUAGCGCGGUGGUCCCACCUGACCCCAUGCCGAACUCAGAAGUGAAACGCCGU